rnacentral:rRNA from 1 species
UACGGGGGGGGCAAGCGUUGUUCGGAAUUACUGGGCGUAAAGGGCUCGUAGGCGGCCAACUAAGUCAGACGUGAAAUCCCCAGGCUCAACCUGGGAACUGCGUCUGAUACUGGAUGGCUUGAAUCCGGGAGAGGGAUGCAGAAUUCCAGGUGUAGCGGUGAAAUGCGUAGAUAUCUGGAGGAAUACCGGUGGCGAAGGCGGCAUCCUGGACCGGCAUUGACGCCGAGGAGCGAAAGCCAGGGGAGCAAACGGG